GCUGUCCUAGACCUGCCAGCACCACAGGUGUGGCUGUUCUGCUGUGCCUGUGACAUGGGAGCAAGGAGAAAGUGGCUAUCUCUAUACUCAGUGUUUAGAAACAAGUGAGUACUAAGAAUUAUUUCUUAGUAUUCACAUUA
rnacentral:snoRNA from 1 species